rnacentral:lncRNA from 1 species
GCACGUUAAUGUCAGGCCUCUGAGCCCAAGCUUGCACGUAUACAUCCAGAUGGCCUGAAGUAACUGAAGAGUCACAAAAGAAGAGCAAAUAGCCAGUUCCUGCCUUUGAUGACAUUACCUUGUGAAAUUCCUUCUCCUGGCUCAAAAGCUCCCCCACUGAGCACCUUGUGACCCCCAUCCCUGCCUGCCAGAGAACAACCCCCUUUGACUGUAAUUUUCCAUUACCUACCCAAAUCCUAUAAAAUGGACCCAAACCUAUCUCCCUUCCUUGACUCUCUUUUCAGACUCAGCCCAUCUGCACCCAGGUGAUUAAAAAGCUUUAUUGCUUAGCUUAAGCAAAGCCUGUUUGGUGGUCUCUUCACGCUGACGUGAGUGAAACUUGGUGCUGUGAUUCGGAUCGGGGGACCUCCCUUGGGAGAUCAAUCCCCUGUCCUCCUGCUCUUUGCUCCAUGAGAAAGAUUCAUCUACAACCUCUGGUCCUCAGACCAACAAGCCCAAGGAACAUCACCAAUUUUAAAUCGGGGACGCAUGUGACAGUUUGUUCCUGAAUACAAAUAAUAACAGAAGAAUAAAGAGGUAUUCAUGUAAACAUCGAUUCAUUACUUCUAUUUAAAAGGCAGAUUCUGCAUUACUUUCAUAACUGAGAAUCCAUGAAAUUAGUAUGAAAAUAAUGUCUACCUCAGCUAGAUACGAAGAGAGGCUACAUUUUGUAGCAAGCACUAGGUUUCUUGCUCUCUUACGUUAGGGCUUUUUCCA